CCCUGCCUCCGCCAGCAGCUUCUGCACGGCCCAGCCCAGACUCCAGCUCCCAGGUGGCUCUCCGCGGGUCCUGCCAGCCUGACCCUGCACUACCAAACUGGGAGAGGAAGAAGCCGCCUCCAUGGGUGCUGCCCACCUGCCAGGUGCCCGCCACUGGCUGACCAACUGGAAUCAUCACAAGCCCCAGAGGACGACGUGAUCAUCACUCCUUUCAGAAAAGAAGAAACCAGCUCGAGAGGGGCAGCCACGUGCCCAAGGCCCCAUAAGCUGGCACCAGGUGCCCAGUUUGGCCCAACGGAGCUGGGCUGAGCCCAGGUGCUUUCUAUCCCCCUCCUCCUCCCAAGGCGUCGGGUUGCAGGUGCGGUGCCUACAGGUGCCUAACGAAAGCAAUGAGCCGGGUAUUCUCCGAGCACCUGCCACACACCCAGCAGCGGGGAGCACAGAGUUCCCAGAAACUAACUUCGCAGUUUCUGGUGAACGUGUCUGACCUCUCCUACUGGACCAAACACUCCCUCAGAGCAGGAUGCCUCCUGCCCAUAUGGUACUGAAAACUGUGGCACUGGAAUAGAACUGAGAGCCCAGAAAUAAACCCAUACAUCCGUGGUCAACUGACUUUCAACAAGGAUGCCGAGACCAUAC